CUCUCUCUCCACUCACUCACGUACUCACUCACUCACUCACUCAGUCACACACGAUAUCUUACUUCCUACCCACCCCUCCUCGCUUCCCUACGGGGCAGAUUACUAUCACAGCUAUAAGUGAGGCAAGGAAGCCGUAAACACAGCAAACCCAGUCUCCAUGGUGGCAAGAGGGGGUACUGGAGGUGACAACAAUGGAGAAGGACCUUUCUUCUGACAAGUUUUAGAUACUCUGGGCUGAUGAACAACGAUGUCAAUGUCAUAACUCUUCAGUAAUAACUACAUUGAGAGCAGAACGGCUUCAGGGAAUACAUUCAGCCAAGCCCCCAAGAAGAGUGCCCUGGGGUGAAACAAAUACCUUUGAGAUUUAACUCAGGAAGAAUUUGUGCUUCAUCAGGUGUUCAGAGGAAAUUUACCCACAGCCACCGAGGAUGGAAUACCCUGGAACUGUGGAGAGUUGGCAGCAACAUUUUGCCAUGGUUUUUCAUCGGGCCUGGAGAGAGGAAGAGAGAGAGUUCCUCAGGCACAUGUAGAUCAUGUGUGAAGUCAGCUAAAGGGCACUUUUGACAUCACUCCCCCUAUUACACUCUCUGUAGCUGUUUCCCUUCUCUAUAAGUGGGUGACGGAUCGCAUCCCGCCAGCUGGCUAAUAUCGUAAUUAACAAAGUUGCAACCACAUCGGAGAAGUUUAAUCGAAAAUUUUGCUGGCAAUAUCAUGGCAUUGUCCCAGAGAUCACAAGCUAGGAAGACACGACUUUUGUUCUGGGAGAAGACAAGAUGAGGAAGUCUGAACUUGGCCAGCCUAAGCUUCUCAAGCACCCCUUAAGCUUCACUAAUGAGGUCCGUUGUAGAAGAUCUGGUGCGUUCCAACGUUGGGAAUCAAAAUCUCGUCCCCUUGAAAGUCUGACUGAGAAGUCAACAGAGAAAGCCAAUACCUGGGAAUAUCCCUCAACAGAAGAAAUCUUGAUUGGAAUGACCUUUGUCUUGUCAUAUGGUAGAGCACAGGGACUCCUGUCUUUCUCAGAGGUUGUGGAUGCCAAUCAAGGGGCUCCUACAGGAGAGUUUUGAGUCUGAAUUGCCAGUCCCCAAAGGCCUAGUUCGGAUUGUAUCUGGGCUUGCCCUGGAGAGCUUUGUACCCAAAGGGCAGGAGGGCAGAAGUUUGGGGAAUUUACUCCUAAGAACGCUUCCUGUGGACCAAACACUAAAGACUAAAGCAAACUCUCCUGAUUGCUAUGGCAGCUUCAUAUUGGAGCUAUCCCAUCAGCAGUACUGACCCCACAUAGCCCAUGAUGAAGGGCCUUGGGUAUUGAUUCCAGGAGGCUAAUAAUGAGGAGUGAGGGAAGGGGGCCAAGGCCAGGAGGGUUAUCUCACCGUCCCAGAUGCUGGAUAAGUUGGAGGAGGCCGAAUCCCUUUUGGAAGACAUUCAGAAAGGCCUGAAUGCUUAUUGGGAGAAGAAAAGACUAUUCUUUCCAAGGUGUGUGGCAGCUCCUCCCUUGCUGGUCCGGUGGUGAUGAUCACAGACAGUCUGCCAGCAUCUCAUGAGACAAAGGAUUGGCUCCCGAGCCCCGCCACACCUAAAAAAAAAAGGCUUUGAAGGGCUUGCCAAGCUCACUUUUAAUCAUGGGAAAGAAAUUACCCACAUGGAGUCAGCAGAAAAUGAAAAAGUGGGCCUCGUGCUGAGAUAAUUCCAGCAAGUGCCAAGGGGCUAGCUGAGAUAUGGCUUCAUGAGGUGAAUAUCUUUAGCUCUUACUUAGGGUUUAGUUACUGUAUAAUCAUUCUCUCUUUUAGGAGCGAUGAAUAUCCCAAGUGUUUCCUAACCAAAGCUCUGUCUCUCUCCAAGCAUUUGUCAGGAUAUUGAUGGAUUCCACAGGAAAUGGGGUCUCGGGGUCCUUGUUGUUAUUUCCUUCUACUCAGGAUGAGUUUGCCAAUAUGCAGAAUCUUAUUCAGCAACAGCCGCAAGCAAGCCCCAACCCCAAGCCCAUGACUGCCACUAGCUGUGUGUAUUUGUGUAUUUCUCUGUUUGAGUAUCUGUCUAGUACUUUAUGUCUCCGUGUAUACAUGUAUCUUUGUUCUUGUCCUUGACCCCUCCUUAGGAGAAUAUCUUGGUAGGAUUGGAUAGCAGGUGGAUUUUAAGCUGAGACCUGGGGUGGAGGAGUGGUCGGGGGUGGGCCAAAGGUAUGAUUUGAUUUUGGGGGUGGCGUGGAGAGAAGGAGAAAAGGUGCAUGCCAUCUUGAUAAUGAAUGAUCAAUCUUAAUUCCCAAUCCAUAUUAAAGGAGAGAGGGGGGACAACCCCUGAGGACAGUAAUCUACCCCACCUUCCCUUUGGGGGACCACAAUUCCAAUUAAACAUCAGUUUCAGUGUGAAAUUGGUUUGACUGCCUGUCUUUUGUUUGCCUGCUUUAACCCCUUUGUGCCCAUGCUUAUUUAGAAGGUUCCCUUGAACUCCGUUCCAGUCUGAGGCCCAAGUCCAUCCCUGGUGGCCUGCAGCCCUGUCUUCUGUUUCUUUUUUUCUUAUUCUAAUGAUCAGGUCUGGGAUCAGAGUUUUUCUCUCACUUCUAUUAUUAAACACUCUUCCCAGGCCCUUGAUUCUGUGUCUACUUUUCUAAAAAGAAGAAUUCUUAACUUGCCAUCUGCUUGUCUC